rnacentral:rRNA from 1 species
GACGAACGCUGGCGGCGUGCUUAACACAUGCAAGUCGAACGAACGGAGAAGAAAAGCUUGCUUUUCUUCAAAGUUAGUGGCGGACGGGUGAGUAACGCGUGGGCAAUCUACCCAUAAGAUCGGAAUAACCGUGGGAAACCAUGGCUAAUACCGGAUAUAAUUAUUGAGCUGCAUGGCUUAAUAAUGAAAGGAGGCCUCUCUAUAGAAGCUCCCGCUUAUGGAUGAGCCCGCGUCCCAUUAGCUAGUUGGUGAGGUAACGGCUCACCAAGGCUACGAUGGGUAGCCGGCCUGAGAGGGUGACCGGCCACACUGGGACUGAGACACGGCCCAGACUCCUACGGGAGGCAGCAGUGGGGAAUCUUCCGCAAUGGGCGCAAGCCUGACGGAGCAACGCCGCGUGAGUGAUGAAGGCCUUCGGGUUGUAAAACUCUGUCUUUAGGGAAGAAGUCAUAUACGUAAAUAGCGUAUGUGGACGGUACCUAAGGAGGAAGCUCCGGCUAACUACGUGCCAGCAGCCGCAGUAAAAC